rnacentral:lncRNA from 13 species
CGUCUCCCAGAGGAGGACUCCCAGCCCAAGUGGUGGAGAUGUGGAGGACACAACAGGUCCUCUAGGCCUUGACCUCCAGCCACCCCACCAGAGCUAUUGAGCC